AAAAAUGUCAGCAGCUCUAGUUCGCCAGGCCUUGGAAUUCGUCGAUCAAGAAGAAGGCGAGGUACGCGACAAACGCCGUAAGGGGAAGAAGGGGUCUUCAGGUCAAGAACAUAAAAAGCCCUACCAACGACCCACAAAAGAGAAGCAGCCUAAAGCACAAACUACUAACGCAACCAUCAAGAAACUGCUAGCAUUGUCACAGCCAGCAUCUGACAAGAAAACAGCACUU
rnacentral:lncRNA from 1 species